rnacentral:rRNA from 1 species
AGCGAACGCUGGCGGCAUGCUUAACACAUGCAAGUCGCGCGGGUGGUUUCGGCCAUCCGCGGCGGACGGGUGAGUAUCGCGUAGGAAUGUAUCCCGAGGUGGGGGACAACCCUGGGAAACUGGGGCUAAUACCGCAUGGGGCCUGUGGGUCAAAGCCUUAGGUCGCCUUGGGAGCAGCCUGCGUCCGAUUAGGUAGUUGGUGGGGUAAAGGCCUACCAAGCCUGCGAUCGGUAGCUGGUCUGAGAGGACGAUCAGCCACACUGGGACUGAGACACGGCCCAGACGCCGCGGGGGGGGAGCAGGUGGGACUAGGGGAAAGGGAGCGCAGGCGGGAUCCAGCGUGGGCGCGUGGGUAAAGAGGGGGCUGUGAUGGUAAACCCCUGGGGGGGGGGAGGGUGAGGACGGAACCGGCAGAAGCAGCCAGGGCUAAGUUGGUGCCAGCAGCCGAGGAAGGAUAGAAGAGCACCCGUCUGACC